GCGGGUGUAACUCAGUGGUAGAGUACUUGCUUCCCAAGCAAGGGGUCGUGGGUUCGAAUCCCAUCACCCGCUCCA
rnacentral:tRNA from 1 species